AGGCCGGAUGAGGAAGAUAAGGCAGAGAGGACAGAACACUCAGGCCCAAGGGCCUGCAGCUGGCGAGCGGCCAAGGUUCUUGGACCAGGCACGAGGCUGAAGAACGAGCUAGCCAAGGGCUUGGCAUGAAGCCUCCUGUGGGACUGGAAGACUUCCAAGAAGCAGUGUCCUGGGACCAAAAGCCUGGAAGGCCUGGCCCUGAGCCAGCAUUUGUAGGGGAGGGACCAGUACCCGGGCAAGGAAGAUGUCCCUCUCCUCCCACAGCAAUGGCAGCCCUGCUUGUGGGUCCUACCGCAGUUGCCCAGGAGGGCAGACCCUCAGCCUCCUGGAGGAUGCAAAGCAAAUCCUGUCCUCCUUAUCUCCACUGCGCAGCCGACCUCAGCCCACUUCCCAGCCCUGCCCCCCCCACAGCCACUGGCUUGGCUCCCACAGCAGCCACGCUCCACUCCUCAGGGGGACGUGGUCACGGCAUCUUUCCGACCGCACCAUCUCCUGCCUUCGCGUCCUCCCCUGGAUCCCACCGCAGAGCAAAGCUUUUUAAAGAAACGAAGCCCACCAGCUUUGGCUUCAGGCUACGAAGAGAUGAAGGGAACCGAAGAAGGGCACAGAAGUACAACCGUGUGUAAAGGAGAACUCGCUACGUGACAGAGAGGCAUCACCCACGUGGGGAAGAGAGUUUUACAAAUGGCGUCGGGACAAGUGGUCAUCCACAGGGAGAGAAUGCAAUUAGAUCCUACCCAACACCACACGCACAGCGGCGGGUAGAUUCAAGGUUUACCUGUGGAUAACAGAAAGUGCAAUACAUUUGGAAGAAAAUCUAGCAGAAUGUUUUUAUCACCUCAGGGAAUGGGUUGGAUUCUAGUAGAAGCUCCAGCUGAGAUAAAAAGAAUACCCAGAUCCAAUCCGGCAAGCCAAGUGAAGACCACACUGGGAACUGACAACGGGACCAGCAUUUCUGGAACUCCAGCAGUGCCUGGCACGUCACGUGGAGUCACAAAGACAAGGACCAAAUGUUCUCAUCUCUGAAAUGGGUAUGCUUCCUUACGAGAGGAGUACGUCUGACCCCGUGUGUAAAGCAUUCAGCUUCAUGAACACAUUGCAAGUACUCGGCAAGGGUUGGCCAUUACGGUUAUUUUCAUCAUCAUUACUGUGGGCCUGACCACCUUACAAUCUCCUGUUGACACAGGAUUUCACUGCCCGCGUUUGCAUUCGUGUUUAUGAUUGUAUUGGCAUCAAGCAGUCCUUUUUAAUUGCUGCUGGCUAACAAGAAAAGAACAGAGGCGGAUUUAAUGCGUAAAUGAUGCGUUGAAGCCAAGUGAAGGCCAAAUGAUGUAACAGCCCACUGUGUAAACAGAAGUAUUGCAGUAAUUCAAAUAGAGAAAAGUGGUGGGAGCACUGAGUCACCCUGCACGCGGCGCACCCGUCGGGAUCUCAGACGACGAAGGAGCGCUGCUCCCAUUGGUGGGUUCCCCCGUCCCCAUGAGCGGCGAUUGGUUUCAGCCAAACAGCAUCAGCCUUCCCUUUAGACGAAUGUUCAUUUUGAACUGUACGGGGUUCGUAGUUUUGUUUGUAUUUAUUACGUGAGUUUCUCCAGAAUGUAUUGCUAAGUAAAAAAAAAAUUCUUUUUUUUUUUUUAAGAUUGUAUUUAUUUAUUUGACAGCGAGCAAGCGCA